UCCGUUUGAUCCUGGCGGAGGUUACUGCUAUCGAGGUUCGACUAAGCCAUGCGAGUCGAAUGUAGCAAUACAUGGCGUACUGCUCAGUAACACGUGGACAACCUACCCUUAGGUCGGGGAUAAACCCGGGAAACUGGGUAUAAUACCCGAUAGUCCUCGAAUGCUGGAAUGCAUCGAGGUCUAAAGCUCCGGCGCCUAAGGAUGGGUCUGCGGCCUAUCAGGUAGUAGUGGGUGUAGCGUACCUACUAGCCUACGACGGGUACGGGUUGUGAGAGCAAGAGCCCGGAGAUGGAUUCUGAGACACGAAUCCAGGCCCUACGGGGUGCAGCAGGCGCGAAAACUUUACAAUGCUGGCAACAGCGAUAAGGGGACCUCGAGUGCCAGGUUACAAAUCUGGCUGUCGUGAUGCCUAAAAAGCAUUGCAUAGCAAGGGCCGGGCAAGACCGGUGCCAGCCGCCGCGGUAACACCGGCGGCUCGAGUGGUAACCGUUAUUAUUGGGUCUAAAGGGUCUGUAGCCGGCUGGAUAAGUCUCUUGGGAAAUCUGGCAGCUUAACUGUCAGGCUUUCAGGAGAUACUGUCUGGCUCAAGGCCGGGAGAGGUGAGAGGUACUCAGGGGUAGGGGGAAAUCUUGUAUCUGAAGGACCACC
rnacentral:rRNA from 1 species